rnacentral:rRNA from 1 species
CCCAGACUCCUACGGGAGGCAGCAGUGGGGAAUAUUGCACAAUGGGGGGAACCCUGAUGCAGCGACGCCGCGUGGGUAAAGGAGUAUUUCGGUAUGUAAAGCCCUAUCAGCAGGGAAGAACAAUGACGGUACCUGACUAAGAAGCACCGGCUAAAUACGUGCCAGCAGCCGCGGUAAUACGUAGGGGGCAAGCGUUAUCCGGAUUUACUGGGUGUAAAGGGAGCGUAGACGGCGAUGCAAGUCUGAAGUGAAAGGCGGGGGCCCAACCCCCGGACUGCUUUGGAAACUGUAUGGCUGGAGUGCAGGAGAGGUAAGUGGAAUUCCUAGUGUAGCGGUGAAAUGCGUAGAUAUUAGGAGGAACGCCAGUGGCGAAGGCGGCUUACUGGACUGUAACUGACGUUGAGGCUCGAAAGCGUGGGGAGCAAACAGGAUUAGAUACCCUCGUAA